UGGCCUCUAGAAAGCUCCAGCACGAGACAGUUCGACUCAGAUUUUCACAGCGAGCAGAGCACACAUGUGAAGAUGCCAACAUCUUAUCAAAUCGCAUUGACCUUUGCUUUGGUACUUGGCCACGUCCAACUUCAAGGCGUGGCUCCUGCCCGGGUCCCCCAUCACAGUCAAGUGCAUCGACGAGCGAACACCACUCGCCUAACGCCAGCACACACGCACCAUGUGGCGUCGAAUCACACACUGUUUGGCCAAGCCAGAAGAUUGAAUAAUACAUCGAGUGUAUCGUCUCCAAGAAACGUUACCGUGCCUGUUGCUCACAACCAAACGUGGCCAUUACAAAAUGACCAGCCUGGUUUUAGACAGCCCUCCCAGUCUCCUGUUCACAACCAAACAUGGCUGUACACCAAUCAGACCUACUUCAGCUCGGCACCUGGAACUAUACCUUUAUAUCCUCCAGAGGGGCUUCCAAGCCAAGUGCCGACGUCAUCUCUAUGGGAUGGAUCAGCAUCCGGUAUCUUUCUAGCGGACAAUAAUACACUUGUUGGCAACUCAUCGUCAACACAGGGUCCGAGUCCAGCGCUUGUGGCGAGCAACCACAAUGGCUCUUUGGCCUUGGCAUUAUCCAGCAAUUCGACGAGACUGCCACUUGCGCCAGGCAGCAAGCCGUAUUCCUCUAGUCCAUAUGCAAAUCUGGUUUACUAAACGAAGAGGAUGAUAGACGAUGAUAGGCUCCCCCAAAUGAAUAAACCACUUGGACUUAAAUUUUUUCAAAAAACAUUUUAUUUCGCUGCCAUUGCGUUGCGGCGAUCAGUUAAUUGGACCAUCGGUAAAAAUAUGUUGGUUGCUUUCCGGUAUUCCAGAAGUGUUAAAUAAAAAUGUAUGUGUGUAGAAAUGAUGAAUUUUCCAUAAAUGGGCUUGGCUUAGACAGGGGUGCGGAUAUUUUUGGGACGGUGAUCACGGCAUCAUCAAGUAUAUCAGCUUUGAACCAUCGAAUAAAUUAUAUUGUGAUUGCCUAAGUUAACGCUGCGCCAAGAUUUUUGGAAUACCACCGAUGAUUUUCUAAGCCGAAGUGGAGCGGAUCCCUCGCCGCCGUCCAGCGCUCCCACGCCGCAGACAGGAUCUCCCCCGCCGCAGUCAAGUGCUCCCUCGCCGCCGUCAGCAGCCACAUCCCUCGCCGCCGUCAGCAACCACAUCCCACGCCGCCGUCAAUUCAAUCCUUCCUCAGUUCCCACGCCGCAGUCAUGAGCAUAGCGCUUGGCGCAUAGAGCCCUUGCCAAAAUCCCACGCAGCAAAAUGGUUAUCCCACGCCGCAGUCUUGAAGUUCGGAUCCAUCCAUCGCCGCCGUCAUGUGUAAGUCGGGAUCCCUCGCCGCCGUCGAUUUGGAAUCUCACCACGCCGUCGUUGUGCAUAUUGAAUCCCACGCUGCAGUCAAAUCCGAAUUAAAUGAAACUUGCAAUCCACGAACAAAAUCUAAUUCUCCUCACGAAGGGUCCUCACAGAGCAAAGUUAAGCGUCAACAUCACAUUAGUUAAGCGACCAGUAGCGAAGCGAUAAGUGAAUGCCACAUGCCACCGCCAACGGUGGUAAUGGUAAUGGCAAUGGCGAUGGCGAUCUUGUUGGCGAUCACCGUGUCCAACUGCAGCAGUGUUGCGAAGAAGGGGCAAAUGUUGGAGAACGGUCUGAAGUUGUCAUCAGUAUCAUGUCAUUAAAGCAGAGUCAACAAGCUAUCCCAAGCCAGUGGUACGAGGAACGAAUUGGUACGGAAUUGUUAUUGGUGCAGGUCGAUGGAAGUGUUCAGGAUAAUGAUAUGUGGCCUGCAUCUCAGAUCUUGGACCAGUCAAUAUGCUGCUCCAGAAAGCGAUCGCAGAAGCCACUGGCGAUGUCGAAUUGAACAGAAGAAGGCUCGGCUCCCAGAGAUAUCUCUUAGCCGGUUCUCGUAGCGAAAAUGAUCAAUAGCGUGCACUCCCAGUCGUUUAGUGCGCCUCUUAAGUCCACACAGGAUGCGAUUAGAUGAUUCAAAGAGGCCAAUGAAGGAAUGCCUCGAAGGUAGUACAAGGUCGAAGGUAUCAAAAGAUUGAAAAUGUAUGUCCUCUGUAUGCUGCUGCUCCCACUCCUCACUCCUCACUGCCAUGGAUCUUGCUAUAAAAGUCGUGGUCCUCCCAUUCAAAUGUUCCCUGCGGCAACAACUGGUACGUCUAGGUGCGACAUGGACCGCUCCAAAAGCCUUUGGAAGGAUAUCCGGUUGCACUCUUCAGGGGAAGUCUGCUACAGCCAUGGCUUUUAAAUUUACAUGUCACAGUAUAACAUAACAUCUUACAUAAGAAAUUUAAAACAAAUUUAAAGGCAACAAAACAUUAACAUUAUCUACGCAAGGUAUUUAAAGAGAACAUAAUUUGAUAGCUCUAACAACUGCAUUACAAAUGCAGUCUGGAUCCUGGACGUGGGCCUAGAAUAGUCUCGCUCUUUAUGAGUCUUUAGGAGCUGCGCUAACAUCGCCUACAUACGCCUACGAGUAGCUGUAAUGAGAGUUUGGAAGGAAACUAAAACAAAAGAAGAGUGUGUUUAAGUUGCCUGUACCGCGGGCGCGUGUCUCUUGGAUUCCCUUUGAGACCAACGUGACGAGUGUGCAGGAAGGCGCGCGGCAAUACAAGUGGAGUGGGCCAGAGCACAGCCGUGGAUCUGGACCUAGCAGGGCAUUAUUUCUGACUCCUAUGUGGAUGUGGGAAUGUAUAGUCGUUCGUUCCUGGAAAGCGUACAUGCACCAACAACAAAACUGCUAUUAUACCUUUAGGGCCUUGGGACCCUGCCUGCCGCUGUCGCUGUACAUCGCAUUGGAUUCCCUUUACGAUCGCUGUGCUGAAGAAGUAAAGAAUUUGAUCAGGAGCUCAACGGGGAGCUCGACUGUAGUACCAUCUCGCAUUUGAUUCCCUUUUGCGGUAUGUUGGAUCGUAGGGCCAGGAGUUAAGGGCUCAACUGGCGGAGCGUAGCGUAGUCAUUGGCUAGCUAGCUCGGUCUUCGAACACUAAUCGCAUUUGAUUCCCUUUUGCGAUGAAUAUGGGUACCUCUAAUUCUGGACUACCUACGGGAGGGAAAGUACAAAUGAAGCGACAACCCGUUGAAAAGCGGUUUCAUCUCUCCUGAGAUCUGCAAACCUGCGUCAAGCUCUGACAGGCUGAACUGUGGCUGCUGCAUUUCUUCCGUUUCGGAUGCUUGAACACUAAUCGCAAUUGGUUCCCGUUUGCGAUAAACGACUGGCUACGCGUCGUUAGCUGCUGAUCUGUCCGGAUGUUAUUCAAAUACAACGCUGAAAGUGACAAUUAAUUAGCGACGACGACGCUAGGAUGCCCGUAGCGUACUUGCAGGCAGCAGCCCUGUAACAACGACAACACAUCAGCUCACUUCUUCAGCGAAUGCUGGUGAUGGUGCGGUGUAGCGGCUCUCGGUCCAAACGCAUUUGUUUCCCUUUAGCGUGGACCGAACGCACAUCUCUGUGCGGUGCCAAUUGCAUUACGUGCUUAGGCUAGCACAUCGCUCGCAGGACUGUCUCCAGCUCGCUCUCGACGCCCGUGCCCGUGCUCGUGCCAUGGCCCGUGCCCGUGCUUUGGACAGCGGCAGGCGGUAGUCGGCAAUCUUGAACUUGGUCUAGCCUCGUCUGAGCGUUGAUUGAUUCGGUCGGCGACAGGUUGUGUGCUAUGAAGCGCCUUGGUGCACCCUUGGUAGACACAAGCGGCCCUUUUUUUUUGCAGACAACUUGGCUGUAAUGUAGAAACGUUAAGUUUACAUCUAAUUUUAAAGUAGGCGCACGAGACAGGACAGCCUUGCUGC